GAGAAGAACGUAGCGAAAUGCGAUACGUAAUGUGAAUUGCAGAAUUCAGUGAAUCAUCGAGUCUUUGAACGCACAUUGCGCCCCCUGGUAUUCCGGGGGGCAUGCCUGUCCGAGCGUCAUUGCUGCCCUCAAGCACGGCUUGUGUGUUGGGCCUCCGCCCCCCGGCUCCCGGGGGGCGGGCCCGAAAGGCAGCGGCGGCACCGCGUCCGGUCCUCGAGCGUAUGGGGCUUCGUCACCCGCUCCGUAGGCCCGGCCGGCGCCCGCCGGCGACCCCCCUCAAUCUUUCCAGGUUGACCUCGGAUCAGGUAGGGAUACCCGCUGAACUUAAGCAUAUCAAUAAGCGGAGGA
rnacentral:misc_RNA from 1 species